UGCCGAGCUCCAAACAGUCCUGCAGGUUCAGCUUGUCGUUCUGGGAGGCGAUGAUGGGCCUGGCGGGUUUUGGAUCAGUCACUGCUUUAAAUGUGUUUGUGCCUGUUGGGCUGAAGGACGAACCAUAGAGGCCUUUCCUGAGCGGGUUCACGAUGGACAGGUCGUUGCAGGGGCUGCCGCCAAUCAGCAGAAAAGGGAAGCAGCAGAUUCGACCCACCAGCUCCUGGGAGACGAAUCGGACGUCUCCGACAUGGACGAUCUUCGCGUCGU